UUUAAAGGGUCCGUAGGCGGUCUGAUAAGUCAGAGGUGAAAUCCUGCAGCUCAACUGUAGCAUUGCCUUUGAUACUGUUAGACUUGAGUUAUUGUGAAGUAGUUAGAAUGUGUGGUGUAGCGGUGAAAUGCAUAGAUAUCACACAGAAUACCGAUUGCGAAGGCAGAUUACUAACAAUAUACUGACGCUGAGGGACGAAAGCGUGGGUAGCGAACAGGAUUAGAUACCCUGGUAGUCCACGCCGUAAACGAUGGAUACUAGCUGUUCGAUCAACAUUGGUUGGUUGAGUGGCUAAGCGAAAGUGAUAAGUAUCCCACCUGGGGAGUACGCUCGCAA
rnacentral:rRNA from 1 species